AAGACUGUAGCAUAAUUGGUUAAUGCAGUUCGCUCAUAAUGGAUUUUAUAAGGGUUCAAUUCCCUUCGGUCUUA
rfam:Rhizopogon vesiculosus strain AM-OR11-056 contig35, whole genome shotgun sequence.